UUGGGAGCUCACUGGCUUUGGAUUCCAUGAGACCUCCGAAGUUAAGCGAGUUUGGGCUAUAGCAAUCCCAGGAUGGGUGACCCACUGGGAAGUUGCUCGUGAGUUCCCAAA
rnacentral:rRNA from 1 species